GUGGGCAUAGCUCAGUAGUAGAGUAUAUGCUUACCAUGCAGGAGGUCCUGGGUUCAAUCCCCAAUCCCUCCA
rnacentral:tRNA from 1 species